GAAUGAGUUCGGAACAUUUUGGAAUAUUUCGGAUCGGAAAUUUCGGAAAUUUCGGAAGUUCCAUGUACAUUCCGAAUCCGAUCUAAUUUUUUUCGGAAAUUUCGGAUUUCGGCAUUUACGGAAUUCGGAUUUGUCGGAGCCGGAUUUUUUUGGAAAUAUUCGGACCGGAAUCGGUCGGAAUCGGAUUUUCCAAUCCAACUUGC
rnacentral:lncRNA from 1 species